GGUCCGGUUAGUGUGUCAGUAUGGCCAGCCUGGAAUUGUUUGGCUCUCGCUCGGCAUCUGGCUGACUUGUUUAAUUAUUUUGGGUUUUUUUUUUUUCCAGAUGCAGAGAGAGAGGAAGCGCACCAAAGAGCAGCACAGGAGGGGAGCAGAGCGCCGUAAGGAGGUGGGUCGGUCAUUUGAGGUGCUGCAAGUGAGGACAGCUGCAGGGUCCAUCCCUGGACCGAGCAGCUGAUGAAGAGGCACCGGGCAAUUGCAGGAACAUCCCAGUUAGCCAAUGCGCAGUGGUGAUGUUUUUGUUGCUGAUGGAUUCGGAUCCCCG